rnacentral:misc_RNA from 1 species
CCAGAUCCCAUCGAAGAGUACCACACCACCGUACCUUUUCUCUCGUACGUCCGCGUACAGUCGUCGUUUCCUUUCCUCCCUCCGUCAGCUUCGCGUGUGAUCCAUCUUCACUGCACUGGACGAUCCUACUGUUUGAGACGCAAAGGGUACGGUGGCAACGAUGAAGACGCCCAAACCUCUGGCCGUGUUCCUCGUGGUGUUCGUCGCGCUGGCUGCCGCGCCGGCCGUCGUCGACGCGGGCUGGUCCAGGGGCACGGCCACGUUCUACGGCGGCAGCGACGCCUCGGGCACAAUGGGAGGCGCGUGCGGGUACGGCAACCUGUACGCGACGGGGUACGGGCAGUACACGGCGGCGCUGAGCCAGGUGCUGUACAACGGCGGCGCGUCGUGCGGGCAGUGCUACCAGGUGUCGUGCGACGCGCAGACGGACGCGCGGUGGUGCCGGCCGGGCGGCGGCGCCGUCACCGUCACGGCCACCAACCUGUGCCCGCCAAACUACGCCUACUCCGGCGGCACCGGGGGCUGGUGCAACCCGCCGCGGCCGCACUUCGACAUGUCCCAGCCGGCGUGGCUCCAGAUCGGCGUCUACCAGGGCGGCAUCAUCCCGGUGCUGUACCAGCGCGUGCCGUGCGCCAAGCAGGGCGGCGUGCGCUUCACCAUCACCGGGUUCAACCACUACGAGCUGGUGCUCAUCUCCAACGUCGGCGGCAGCGGCUCCGUCGACAGCGCCUGGGUCCAGGGCUCCAGCACCAACCGGGUGCCCAUGAGCAGGAACUGGGGCGCCAACUGGCAGUCGCUCGCCGGGAUCGCCGGCCAGGCGCUCACCUUCGGCGUCACGUCCAGCGGCGGGCAGACCAUCGUCUUCCAGAACGUCGUGCCGCCCAACUGGGUGUUCGGCAUGUCGUUCACAAGCAACUUGCAGUUCUCCUACUGACCACAGGUGCCUUAGCUUGUGUAGGAGCGAGCCCAU